GGAGUGGUGUUGUUUAGCAUAUUUGGUUUCGGCCCAUAAGGUAGGAAUAAAUAAGUAUUAUUCCUCCACUCUU
rnacentral:tRNA from 1 species